AAUAAGGGUUAACGUGCAGAAAUAAAUUUGGGGUAUUUAAAGUAUUCUUAAAUUUCAGCACCUGGACAAUCCUGCUGAUCUUUUUCAGCUGCCAUGACCUCCUAUUUUACAGUCACCCUCCUGCGAUAUUUUUUAUUUAUUUAAAAAAAUUUUUAAAGCAUUUCGUGAUCCGUAUUAGCAGGAGAUCAGGCACUAAUGACUAUCUUUUAAUAAUUUACCCACUAAUCGCGAAUACAUAUCUGGGGUAUUCAAGAUUCUUUAUUAAUUUUAGUCCGAAAAUAAAUCUGAAAUGAUGGUAAACACCCCCCCCCCCCCCCCCCCCCCUUUUUUUUUUUUUUGAAAAUCCCAAAUUCAAAAACAUCUUGUUUGCAUAUAAUUGUUUUAGGUUUCUUUUUUUUAAAAAAUAAUUUCGUAACAAAUGAACGCAACCUACACGGGCUCUGUUGAUAUUCAAUUCUUGAGUCCUAAGUGUGAAUGGUCUUUCAAACAAAGUGGUGUGUGUGUGUGUGUGUGUGUGUGUGUGUGUGUGUGUGUGUGCGUGUGCGUGCACGUGUCUUGAAGGUAAAAAUUUGUACCUCUUCCCUUAUUGCCGUACGGGUUGUGUACAUCAACCCAGGCGAUAACCAAUCAGUUCUUGCCUUGCAGUAACUUCAUAUUGUGGAACGCUCUUUAUCGACUUGGUAGUUAUAUACCUCAGAAAAUCCAUGUUAUUGAAACAUUUUUUUUUUUCUAUAAGAAUAUCCAAAGCAACUUUAUUUUCAUAUGCUACGAUGGACCUUAGCGGAAAGCUGUGUAUAGACCGUCAACACUGUCGUGUGAAAACGUAUGCAUUGUAAACCUUUUGUGGAAACUGGAGGUUGUGGCUAAAAGAUCUUCCAAAUAGGAACGUAUUACUUAGUCAGUAUCGUGUAUUAUAUUGUAACUGAACCCUGUGUACCUUUUUUGUAUGAUUUGUAUCUUUAUUUUUUGUCAUUUCCAGGGUUUUGUUUGUUUGUUUGCUUGUUUAGAAUUUCACUCAACCACCAAAGAUACUUUUAGAAUCGGACACCUCGCAUCAUGUACACUCACCAGCCACUUUAAUAGGAACACCUGUACCUCUGCGCGUUCAUGCAGUCAUCCAAUCAGCCGUUCUAUGUAGCAGGAGCAACACAGUGAAUAAAAUUAUACUUAUUGUAUCGGGUCAAGAGCUUCAGUUCACAUCAAACAUGUGAGAAGGAGGAAAAAUAUCAUCUCGGUCACUUUGACCUUGGUUGUUUUUGCUGGUGUCAGACAAAACUGUUGAUUUUCAGUUAUAACAGUUACACAGAAUGGUGUGGAAAAACAAAAAACAUCCAGUGGGUAGCAGUUCAGGUCAGAGGAGAAUGGACCAGAGUGGCUCAAGCUGAACAGGAAGGCUACGAGAACACCUUUACAUAAGCACCCUUUACAACCGUGAUGAGCAGAAAAGCAUCUCAGAGCGCGCAACAACUUGAGGCGGCUGCCUAUCACUGGAUGUGUGUGUGUUUUUUUUUAACGAAGUGGAUGUAGAGCGCAAGGUCUUGAACCUUUUUCGUGUCCUGUUAAAGGGCACAAUAUUCACAAAAUGCAUCCUGAAAAUUGUAAUCAAACAGUAGUUUGAUUCCAAUGCAAAUUUCUUGGUAUAGUGGAUUGAAGUGACUGUAUUUUUGCAACUGUCAUUAAGCUAGAUAGCUGUGAGGCAGCUACUGUAAUAUUGGUUGUUUUCACACAAAGAUCUAAAAAAUAAAUAAAUAAAUAAAGGAGGAAAGCAUCAAUCCGACUCCUCAUUAGCAUUACCUUUUGUUGUAAGUGAGCACUUUCAGUUUAUGAUCUGUAAACCAAAGUGUGACAUUGUGAUUGCGUUCAUUAUUUCCUGUAAAUUUCUAAAAUUGUAAUCCUGUCAUUCAGUCACUAUGGCAGUAUUCAAUACUGUAUGACUUAUCAUCAUCCUAAUCAUGCCGAUAUGUGUUGUUUGGCCUUGGAGAACCCUUCACAUGUUUCUUGAAUGUUUCUUCAAAACUUUACAGAGUAGAAAAUCUUGAAAUUGUACUAUGUGAAGGGUUUUCCCAGGCCGUAUUAGCAUGAUUAUCCUAACUAGUCCCUGGUCAGGUCUUUGGUCCAGGCUGCUCAGGAAGCUCUUGAACGCAGAGCACAGGCAGCAGAAUCCCUAUCUCAGCAUAUAGAGCGCAGUGUGAACUACCCUGGCCUAGUUGCACACCGGAUGCCUGUUCAGUCAUUCAACUUCGCAACAACAUAGACGGGCAGUUUUACAGACCUGUGCAGACCUGGCCCAUCAUCAAGAGGAGAGGUACCCCACCCUUGUUUUAGCCCACUAACUUGCCCUAUGCCUACUCAACGUCACCCCAGAGAUACUGGAAAUGUUCCCUGCCCCGCCACCCCAACAAGUUGCUCCUUGACACUCUCAGGAAGGGCUGUUGUUUUCAGUUCCAUCACAGAUCCCCCAGUGAGCACUCAAGUUUUCCCCAUGGUGGUCCAGGACCCUCGUCAGGCCCUUGCCCUGUCAGUGGAGGUACGAAAGCUGCUAGAGAAAAGGUGCAAUAGAGCCAGUAGACUCCUAGACCCACCCCAGGGGAUUCCACUCAAAAUUCGUUGUUCUGAAGAAGGAUGGGAGUUACGCAUUCCGAAUUGCGGCACGUGCAGACGCAGCAGCUAGGCGCUCCCAGUCUAGAAACGUUUUCUUUAUUAAUUUGUGUUUUUCAUUUGUUAUGUUUACCAGUUCAAGUAAUUGAUGCACACAGGAUAUACAAAAGGUCUUCUUGAGGGGGCUAUGCAUGUUAAGCCACCAACAUGGAUAGUGUAUACCCAGUGGGAUUUGUGGAUGGUGUUAGACAGUCUGUGUUCACACUAUGAGCUGAUUGAGCAAGCAGAUAUUGGGAAUCUUUCUCUGAAGACUGCUUUCCUUUUGGCCAUAACAUCGACCAUGAAGGGUCGGUGAGUUGCAUGCUGUCUCGGUGAGUCCAAAGUGUCUCAAGUGGGGGCCAGAGGAUAAUCAAUUUACACUUUCCAGCCGAAGGUAUUGUCAGUUCAGUUCACAAAUCAGCCUAUUCAGCCUGCAGCAUUUCGACAGGAGGGUGAGGCCUUCCAGGCAGCCCUAUGUCUUGUUCGGGCAUUAAGAAAAUACGUCCUCAUGGUGUACCACGGAUCAACUAUUCGUCUGUUUUUGGUCCAGCAGAAGAGGUACACCCUCGCUCACUGGUGGGAGUACUAUUAUCGAGGCGUAUCAUUCGGCAGGCCGUACAACUCCGGCAUCUAUCAGAUGUCAUUCAACUCGGGCAGUGACCACUUCUUGGGUGGCAUUGCGUGGUGUGCCCCUCUCUGAGAUAUGUGCAGUGGCCACAUGGGCAUCACCUUGCACGUUCACAAGGUUUUACAGGCUUAUUCCUGUAAAAUGCCCUUAUUCCAUUGGUUAGCCUGAUUCCAUGUCUUCUGGUUACCAGACAACGCUUAUUGUGUUCCUCGUGACUUGGCUGUAUUCGUCUUCCACCAUGUACUCACCAUCUCUGGCGGUCUGGAAAUAGAACGUUGUUUACUGGCGUAGCCGUGGUUCUAUGAAUGGUGGAAGACCGCCAGUGUCUCUGGUCACUCGGAUAGUGAGAAUGACUAGGAGACCAACCGUGAUGUAGUCGGAAUCUGAUAGAGCUUCUGACACUCCACCGUUGAAGGUCACGUGUGAAUGAAUCAAUACAAGAUUCUGUCAUGCACGAGACACGACUCCUUUCACCGUGUACUAACCGUCUCUGGUGGUGUUCCACCAUUCAAUAACCAGUAUUCAGUUUGCUGGAAGGAGACUUAUAUUUAGCAUUUUUGGAAGGAGUCUCCAGUGUCCGCUCUUUGUAACAGUCAGAGAAAAGCUGUAGCUUUAGAUUCUUCAAGUUGCAUUUUUUUUUUUUUGUUGAAUUACAUUCGAAAGUGAGAAAAAGACAUGCUGAAUUGAAGUUGUUUCAACUGUUUCAAUUGUUUUUUGUCCUGUCAUGCUUCAUUAACAAAAAAAACAUUUAAUAGUUGACAAAUUGCUGUGGGAUAAUGUGAAUUAAACACUCCGGAACAUGCUUUUAUUGGAAAAGAAUCAACAUUGUGGUGGUAACAUUAACUCCACUUAACACACGUCAGGCCGUGUCACACCAUUCUGUCGUUGAUUAUUUUCCUGUAAUAGCAUAUCCCCGUCAUGUUUAAACGUGAAAAGGGAGAAAAUUGCAGACAGAUUGAUUUUAUUUGCAUUUAAUGUAAACAUACAAUAAAUAAAAAUAACACUGAAAACGAUGUCUGUUUAUUCAUUCUUUUAUUCACAGCAUGCAGCCUUUGCUUGAUUGUUGCAGAAAUUCUAG
ensembl:lncRNA